rfam:Triticum aestivum genome assembly, contig: Triticum_aestivum_CS42_TGACv1_scaffold_163307_2DL
UUGCUACUCCCUCCGAUCCAUAUUACUUGUCACUCAAACGGAUGUAUCUAGCACUAAAAUACAUCUAGAUAUAUCCGUUUCAUUGACAAGUAAUAUUGAUCGGAGGGAGUACUUU